UACGAAGGGGGCUAGCGUUGCUCGGAAUCACUGGGCGUAAAGCGCACGUAGGCGGCUUUUUAAGUCAGGGGUGAAAUCCUGGAGCCUAACUCCAGAACUGCCUUUGAUACUGGGAAGCUAGAGUCCGGAAGAGGUGAGUGGAACUGCGAGUGUAGAGGUGAAAUUCGUAGAUAUUCGCAAGAACACCAGUGGCGAAGGCGGCUCACUGGCCCGAUACUGACGCUGAGGCACGAAAGCGUGGGGAGCAAACAGG
rnacentral:rRNA from 1 species